GCUUGUCUCAAAGAUUAAGCCAUGCAUGUCUAAGUACAAGCCUCAGUAAGGUGAAACCGCGAAUGGCUCAUUAAAUCACACCUAAUCUACUGGAAAGUUACUAGUUACUUGGAUAACUGAGGUAAUUCUUGAGCUAAUACAUGCGAAAAAUCUCGACUCACGGAGAGAUGCUUUUAUUAGAUCAAAACCAAACGGCUUCGGCCGUCUCAUUGGUGACUCUGAAUAACUGAGCGAAUCGAAUGACCUUGUGUCGUCGAUGCUUCAUUCAAAUUUCUGCCCUAUCAGCUUUCGAUGGUAGGAUCUUGGCCUACCAUGGCUAUAACGGGUAACGGGGAAUUAGGGUUCGGUUCCGGAGAGGGAGCUUGAGAAAUGGCUACCACAUCUAAGGAAGGCAGCAGG
rnacentral:rRNA from 1 species